rnacentral:rRNA from 1 species
GGNAUUGGAAAUGGGGGCACCCUGAUCCAGCAAAUGCCGCGUGAGUGAUGAAGGCCUUCGGGUUGUAAAGCUCUUUCGACGGGGAAGAUGAUGACGGUACCCGUAGAAGAAGCCCCGGCUAACUUCGUGCCAGCAGCCGCGGUAAUACGAAGGGGGCUAGCGUUGUUCGGAUUUACUGGGCGUAAAGGGCGCGUAGGCGGUUUUGUAAGUCAGGCGUGAAAGCCCCGGGCUCAACCCGGGAAUUGCGCUUGAUACUGUGGGACUUGAAUCCAGGAGAGGAUGGCGGAAUUCCCAGUGUAGAGGUGAAAUUCGUAGAUAUUGGGAAGAACACCGGUGGCGAAGGCGGCCAUCUGGCCUGGCAUUGACGCUGAGGCGCGAAAGCGUGGGGAGCAAACAGGAUUAGAUACCCUGGUAGUCCACGCUGUAAACGAUGAGUGCUAGACGUCGGGAAGCUUGCUUUUCGGUGUCGACGCUAACGCAUUAAGCACUCCGCCUGGGGAGUACGGCCGCAAGGUUAAAACUCAAAGAAAUUGACGGA